UACAGAGGUGGCAAGCGUUGUUCGGAAUUACUGGGCGUAAAGGGCGCGUAGGCGGCCUUCUAAGUCAGACGUGAAAUCCCCCGGCUUAACCUGGGAACUGCGUCUGAUACUGGGAGGCUUGAGUAUGGGAGAGGGAAGUGGAAUUCCCGGUGUAGUGGUGAAAUGCGUAGAUAUCGGGAGGAACACCUGUGGCGAAAGCGGCUCACUGGACCACAACUGACGCUGAGGCGCGAAAGCUAGGGGAGCAAAGCAGG
rnacentral:rRNA from 1 species